rnacentral:rRNA from 1 species
AGAGUUUGAUCAUGGCUCAGAACGUACGCUGGCGGCACGCCUUAUACAUGCAAGUCGAACGAAGUAGCAAUACUUAGUGGCAGACGGGUGAGUAACAUGUAGGUAUCUUCCCUUUGGUGAGGAAUAACACGAGGAAACUUGUGCUAAUACCUCAUAAGUCUUUACGGAGAAAGCUUUAUGCGCCGAAGGAUGAGCCUGCACUUGAUUAGUUUGUUGGUGGGGUAAUGGCCUACCAAGACUUUGAUCUAUAGCUGAUCUGAGAGGAUGAUCAGCCACAUUGGGACUGAGACACGGCCCAAACUCCUACGGGAGGCAGCAGUAGGGAAUAUUGCACAAUGGAGGAAACUCUGAUGCAGCGAUGCCGCGUGAGUGAAGAAGGCCCUUGGGUUGUAAAGCUCUUUCGUCGGGGAAGAAAAUGACUGUACCCGAAUAAGAAGGUCCGGCUAACUUCGUGCCAGCAGCCGCGGU